rnacentral:rRNA from 1 species
CCUACGGGAGGCAGCAGUGAGGAAUAUUGGUCAAUGGGCGGGAGCCUGAACCAGCCAAGCAGCGUGAGGGAAGAAGGUACAGCGUAUCGUAAACCUCUUUUGUCAGGGAACAAAGGCGGGGACUAGUCCCCGGAUGAGGGUACCUGAAGAAAAAGCAUCGGCUAACUCCGUGCCAGCAGCCGCGGUAAUACGGAGGAUGCGAGCGUUAUCCGGAUUUAUUGGGUUUAAAGGGUGCGCAGGCGGCCUGUUAAGUCAGCGGUAAAAGCCCGGGGCUCAACCCCGGCGAGCCGUUGAAACUGGGGGGCUUGAGUUGGAGAGAAGUGCGCGGAAUGCGCGGUGUAGCGGUGAAAUGCUUAGAUAUCGCGCAGAACCCCGAUUGCGAAGGCAGCGUACCGGCUCCACACUGACGCUGAGGCACGAAAGCGUGGGUAUCGAACAGGAUUAGAUACCCUGGUAGUC